UUUUUUUUUUUUUUGUCUUUUUGUCUUUUCAGAGCUGCAUUCACAGCAUAUGGAGGUUCCCAGGCUAGGGGUCUAAUCGGAGCUGUUGCUGCUGGCCUGCGCCAGAGUCACAGCAAUGCCAGAUCCGAGCUGUGUCUGCGACCUACACCACAGCUCACCACAACGCGGGAUCCUUAACCCACUGAGAAAGGCCAGGGAUUGAACCUGCAAGCUCAUGGUUCCUAGUCAGAUUUGUUUCUGCUGCGCCAUGACUGGGAACUCCCCAAAAAUCAAUUUGUAAUCUUGAGUGAACAGUGUACCAAGUAUCAUUAGCUAGGAUGAAAUACACAAGAUUAACAUGUAUAAACUCUUUCAAAUAUGAAAUGUAAUUUUCUAUCUCUUUCUGUAUUUUUCAUCCACUAAAAUCUGGAGUUGGUGUUAUUAUAUGUGCAACAGAGUGAAAACAUUUUUACAAAUGGAAAAAAAAACCCUGGCGCUCUUCAUAAACACUUGCUUCCAAGAAUUCUUCUUAAGUACUUGCUCUAUAGUUGGUCCUUCAAAACAAGAAAAUAAGCAGAAAGUCCAAUUUCAAAGAUUUUUUUAAGCAAUAAAAUAACCUUGUUUUAUGUUCAAAGGUAAUUUCUUCUCUUAUUACAGACUAUAUUUAAAGACAAGCAAUGUGAUACUGUGAAACAUCCUUAAAAGCUACUGAAUUUAUUAGGAAGAUGCAUGUGUUCCUGUAUCAAACAGAUAAAAAUAAUGUUAGCCCUUAGGUUUAUUUCAUUCCACUCAGCUACAGUUAACUCUUAAUAUAGUUCCAGCAUAAAGAAUCCCAAAGUUAACACUAGAAUUGGAAAGUAAUAUGCUCAGAAGAUGGAAAAGUCUGUAGUCAAUGAGAAUGUGGACAAUGUGAAGAGAUUUUUGUGUGCUAGACAUGUGGCUUCCCAUCACAGUGCUGCAAAUUAAUUUUGGUGAUUACUCAUCUCUGAUUCUAGGUUUCCUUAUCUGCAAAGGGGUUUAAAGAUAAUCAAACUUAAAGUUGUAGCAUGAAUUCAAGUAAUAUGUAACAAGUAACAUGCCUAAAGUGCAUGCCACUAUAAGCACUCAUUUAUUCAAAAACCAAUGACUAUUAUAAAAACCUAUUACGUACCCAAUCUCCUGAUGAGGAGAUAUAAGUGAACAAGAUCAAUACCUUUUUUACAGGCAUAUUUUAUCAGAAAGUAAUGAAGUUUUGUGUCAGAAAUUCAAAUUGAGGAAUAUUCUUCAGAAUAACUGGCUUGUACUCUUCAUAAAUGCCAAGAAAGAUAGGGGGAGGUUGCACAAUUGUUUCACAAUAAAAGUCUAAAAACGUGAAGAAAAGUCAUGCAGUACACGACUCUAGAUUGGAUCUGGGAUGGGGGAUAAGUGUCUACAGAGGACAUCAGUGAAUAAGUGGACAAACUAGAAUAUGAACUGUAGAUGUGGUAAUAUUAUAACAAUGUGAAACAUCCCAAUUUUGACAACCAUUCUCUUGUAAGAGGAUAUCCUUUCAUUUUGGGAAGAUUCAUUUCAGUAUCUAGGGGUCAAGAAGCAAAAUGUUCCCAAUAACCCUCACAAAGACUCAAAAGCAAGGAAGAGAGAGAGGGAGGAGGCAUGCAGGGGGGAUAACAAUAAAGCAAAAGGGCAAAGUGCAAAUAAUUAGUGCAUCUGAGUAAAGUCUACCUAAGAGGUUAUAAAUUCUUAAAAUUUUUUCUGUUAAGUUUCAAAUUACAUAAAAACAAAAGGAAGCUUGAAAGAAGGUAGGGAGUGAGUCAAGGAGUAUUUAUUUGCUUUUUCCUUCGUUUGGAGUCUGCCUUUCUGGAGUAAAUUUUGCUAAUCUUAGAGUUUCAGCAGUAGAAAUAGAGACUUACUCUUUCGUUUUCCCCUCACAUUGAGUACUAUAGUUCUACCUCGGUGGAUCUGAUGAAAUCAAUAAUUUAUAGUACAGGAGUUUAGGUAGAAUUACGUUACUGACUUGAAUGAAUUGAAGAAAAUGCCUAAACACCUGGCACAAUUUCUAAAGCUGUCGCUUUAUUGGAAAACAAACUCAAUGUGUAACAAAUUUUAAAAAGCAUAUUGACAUUUCAAAGCUAAGGAACUGAUCUUUACCUUCAUUUCCCAUAAUGAGUCAGAGAAAUGAAGAACUUUAAGUUAGAAAGUCAUGCAUCUGUGACUUUCAGUUUGAUUACUCCUGCAUUUCUUGGACUGUGAAAGAUCUAUAAUGUGAAGCCAUGCUCUGUAAUCAGAGUUGCUCAUUAUAUUGAUUUCUCGAUUAUUCUAAUUAAUAGUGUUGCACAUAAACCCUUUGGUGUCAACCAGAAGAUUUCCUUCUGAUUUUUAGAAUAAGUGUGCGUGCAUAUGCCUAUGAAUAUAUGCAUUUGCUUAUAUGUGUUUUAGAACCGACAACCAUGAUUACAAACCUAAAAGAAAACAUGUAAACAGAUGAAAAUGUUUACAGGAUGGGAAAAAUGAGGCUGAAUACUUGUGGAAAGUAUUGUCCAUACAAAGAAAAAAUUUACCUUUGACUUGUGAAAACUGGGUACUUGUGAAAAUCAAAAUCAUGAAAGUACUAUCAUGGGCAUUAUUUUAAGUUUUUAUAUUUGGCACAGCUGGCUUCUUUUGACCUAUUUCAAACUUAGGCAAGGAAAUAAUAUUUGGUCUAUUUUAUUCAAAUUCCUUAAAAGUCCAUAAUGUAAAAACAAUUCAAUUCUCCCCAACUUACUGUUUUAAAUGUUGGCAAUCAACAUUUGAGUAUUUAUUUUAAAAUAUAGGAUGAAUGAAAAUUCAAGCCUGGAACUUCCACUUCCAGCGAGGUUGGGGUAUAGAAGAACAAAAAUCCUACUAGGAGUAAAAAAUAUGAUGAAAUUUUAAACAGUGGAUUUGAAACAAUUAGAGAGCUAGUAAAGUAGCCAGUUUUGAAGAACUGGCUGAUCCUGGAAAGAAGGAAGUCUUAUUAAGGUAAGUUAAAUUUUCUGUACAUUGGCUUUCUCUUUGGGGCAUUUGCUGAUUCUUCACACACAUCAAGAUGUGGCUCAGUAGGGUAGAAAAGCUGCUAAGUGCCCAAAACAUAAAAGAGCUUUUGGUGAUUUCACAGGGUCGGGGAAACAAACAAACAAAACAUAGUUCUGAUACGACAUGGCAUUUGGGACUUGAUUGACAUAAUUCCAAUGAGGCAUGAAGGUCACACAAGUGAGAUUAACACGCAUGGCCUGUUGUCCCAUUGAGCCAUUAUCUGAUUAAGCUACUUAAAAAAAGAUGCAAAGGAGCCAAGCAGAAAAUACAUGAAGAGAAGCCAAAUAUGACUAAAGGGUAGUGAGACAUUUUCAGUAUUCCCAGAGUACAAGGGAGAUCAAAAAUCAUUCUUCAAGACCUCUAAGGGGAAGUGGAACUAAUAAACACUCCAGGUUCUAACUGGGACCCUUAGAGGGAUACAGCAUAGGUGUGGGGGUAAACCAGAGGCAGGCUGCACAUUACCAAGACUGUAAAGUAGCAUCAAGUUAGUUCAAGGUCUGAUGGAAUUUAGGUGCUCUGUCUCUUUGGCCAGCAGAGGAUAGGGUAAAUCAUUAAAAUUUUUCAUAUGCAGCAUUGGCAGUGAAACCAAACUGUUUGGAAUGCUACAAAAUAGAACCAGAAGAAAAAAAGAAACAAUAGAAAAUGACACAAAUAAUCCAGUUAUCUGAUGAAAUGUUUAAAUAAUUGUGAUGAAUGUCAUUUGAUAAACAGAUGACAGUUUGGAGAAUUUUAACAGAAAAUAAGAAAAGGGUCAAAUGAAAACUCUGGAAUUGAGAAAUACAAUAACGAAAAUUAGCACAAGAGAUGGGACACAGAUGAAGAGAGGAUGAGUGAACUUGGAAGACAGAGCUGUAGAAAAUAUCUAUGCUAUAACACAGAUGGAAAGCACAGAAAGGAACAAAGCAUGUAUAUAUGAUAUUCAAGAGAUAAGCACAAAAAACACAUUGUUCCUGUCUGUUUUAUUUAUAAUAGUUCCAAACUGUCCACCCACAGUAGAAAGGACAUUUUGGUAUGUUCAUAUAAUAGAAAGUAUUUAGUAUUGAGAAACGUUAAACCACAGC
rnacentral:lncRNA from 1 species